rnacentral:tRNA from 15 species
AGGCCUGUAGCUCAGCUGGUUAGAGCACGGUUCUUAUAAAGCCGGGGUCCGCAGUUCAAGUCUGCGCAGGCCUAC